rnacentral:rRNA from 1 species
CCUACGGGGGGCAGCAGUGGGGAAUAUUGGACAAUGGGCGAAAGCCUGAUCCAGCCAUGCCGCGUGUGUGAAGAAGGCCUUCGGGUUGUAAAGCACUUUCAGUGGGGAAGAAAGCCUUGGGGCUAAUACCCCCGAGGAAGGACAUCACCCACAGAAGAAGCACCGGCUAACUCCGUGCCAGCAGCCGCGGUAAUACGGAGGGUGCGAGCGUUAAUCGGAAUUACUGGGCGUAAAGCGCGCGUAGGCGGUCUGAUAAGCCGGUUGUGAAAGCCCCGGGCUCAACCUGGGAACGGCAUCCGGAACUGUCAGGCUAGAGUGCAGGAGAGGAAGGUAGAAUUCCCGGUGUAGCGGUGAAAUGCGUAGAGAUCGGGAGGAAUACCAGUGGCGAAGGCGGCCUUCUGGACUGACACUGACGCUGAGGUGCGAAAGCGUGGGUAGCAAACAGGAUUAGAUACCCCGGUAGUC